CCCUCUGCAGAGACGUCAUGCAGGAGACCUAUGAGAAUGUGACCUCGCUGGUCACAGCUCUGCCAAGCUGCUCCAACUACUCCUUCCACCAUCCGAUUACAGCUACAGCUGACCCAGUGCACACAGCCGGAGAGGAUGCGGAUAAAUGCCGGGAUUCACAUCUGUAGAGCACAACACAAACAACGGCAUGUUCUUAGUCCUUCCUCGUAUCUGUUAUAGAUUCAUAGAUUUUUUUUUUUAAGGCCAAAGACGAUGAUUAGGCUAUGUAGUCUGAUUUCCUGUAUAACUCAGGCAAUAGAAUUUCAUCCAAUUAUUGCUGUACUGAGCUGAAUAUGUUGUGUCUGACUAAAUCAUCUUCCGGAAAGGCAGCCAGUCUUGACAUGAAGACUUCAACAGAGGGAGAAUUCUCCAGUUCCUGUGGUCAUUUGUUAACCUUUGCACCACCCUGGCAGAACCAUUCCCAGAGGCUCUUACCAGCUGCAGGGUUUCAGUUGGGAGCAGAGUUAAGGUUGCAUUGCAGGGGGGCAGCACUGGGCAACCUUAGCUCUGCAGUAAAGUAGUUUCUGGGCAUUUAGUUUGCUACAUUUUUUUAGUGGACAUUUUGCCACUAACUGUGUCUUUUGCCAACAUAGCUAUGUUGGUUUAGGGGGAGAGGGGUGAUUUUUCACAGCCCUGUAGAGCAGAGCUGUCCUGGCAAAACUGUAAAGAGCAGACCCUGUCAGAGCCUGCGUGUGGAUUUUACAGCACUUGAAAAUAUUCUCAACGGGGAAGCAAAACACACUUUACUGGACUUCGUACAAUUUGUCCUCAUCUUUCCUGAAAUGUGGCACCCAGAACUAGACAUAAUACUCCAGUUCAGGCCUAAUCAGCGCAGAGUAGAGCAGAAGAGCUAAUACGUUCCAGAAUUAUGUUUGCUUUUUUUGCAACACUGUUCAAUCAUGUUUAGUUCAUGAGCCACUAUGAACCCCAGAUCUUUUUCUGCAGUGCUCCUUCCUAGGCCGUCCUUUCCCAUUUUGUAUGUGUGCAGUUGAUUUUUCCUUCCUAAGUGAAGUACUUUGCAUUUGACUGUAUUGAAUUUCAUUCUAUUUAUUUAAUACCAUUUUUCCAGUUUGUCCAGAUCAUUUUGAAUUUUAAUCCUAUUCUCCAAAGCACUUGCAACCCCUCCCAGCAUGGUAUUGUCCACAGACUUUAGAAGUGUACUCUCUAUUCCAUUAUCUAAAUCACUGAUGAAGAUAUUGAACAGAACCGGACCUUUGAGACCCCACUCAAUAUGCCCUUCCAGCUUGACUGUGGACCACUAAUAAUUACUCUCUGGGAACAGUUUUCCAACCAGUUUUGCACCCAUCUUAUAGUAGCUCCAUCUAGGUUGAAAUUUCCCUAGUUUGUUUAUGAGAAGGUCAUGGAAGAAUGUAUCAAAAGCCUUACCAAUCUCAAGAUAUACCACAUUUAUCGCUUACCCCCUAUUCACAAGGCUUGUUACUCUGUGAAAGAAAGCUAUAAGGUUGGUUUGACACGGUUCUUGACAAAUACACGCUGACUGUUACCUAUCACCUUAUUAUCUUCUAGGGUUUGCAUAUUGCUUGCUUAAUUAUUUCCUCCAUUAUCUUUCAUGCAACAAAUCAUGCUGUUAGUUUGCUUCCAUGGUGGAAGCUGCAGGGUGUACCCCUGUACAUCCAAAUGUACCCCCAACAUGCCAUUAUCUAAACUCAGGAUCCUGUUUAUUUUUUUUGUGUAAAUUUUCUAAUUUCACAAUUUCUUCAUUAGCAUUUGACUCAGCAUACAAACUGUAACACCUCCCCCAUCUGUCUCCUGUCUUAAUCUUAGUCCCUUUGGGGGUUCUGUGUCUGUAGAAUUUCCAGCACAGUGGGAUCCGGUCAAUGACUGGGGAUAUGAGCAUUACAGUAAUAAAAAUAAUAAAUAACUGUAAUUCGGAGGGUCCAGGCAGUGGGAGGGAGGCUGUUGGAGAGCAGGAGAGUGUCCAGGUGGUGGUAGGCUGGUGGGGGAUAGGUUUGGGGUGAAGAGUUCCUGUGAGCUGGGACGUCUGGGGGCAGGGGAAAGGAGAUGUAUCAUGGGGUAGGUUCUGUAGGGAGUUGUGAUGCAAUGGAGGGCUGGAAGAAAGGGGAAGAAGUUGGAUCAGGAUGUCAAGGAGUUGGGAAGGGGGGGUGCGAGUAAAGGGGAGGUGGGAGCUGGGUAGUGUUUGCUCCAGGAAAUGGGGGAACUAGCAAUGGGAGGGAGGGAACAGGAGCUCUUGGGAGUCGGAAGCAAAGACGACUUGGGGCAGAGGGAAUGUGAGACGGGAAGUGGCGGGCAGUGGGAAAUUUGGGGGAAGCUCUAGUGAGGAAGGCUGCAGGCAAUGGGAGGGGAGGAGAGAACAGAAGGAGCGGGUGCUUCUGGGGCCCAAGAAGGUGGAGAGGGUUGAGAGCAGUGGGUGGAAGGGGAGCGGGUGUUGUAAUGAGUGAGAGGACUAGGUACACCCUAUCCCCUUUCUGGUGUCUCUCAGUGCCCCCCCCCUCCACCCACAGGUGUCAGGCUUCCUGCCUUUUCCUCUCCGAGACUGGAAUUCUGCAACUAUCCUGUUCCUAGACUAAACCGGGGCUACAAUGUCCUAUGUAUCCACUGUGCUUACCCAGCAGGCCUGGCACAAAUAUGCACUUCCUAGGUUAUGUCUGUGACUCACAGCAUCCCGGGGCAAGUGGCUCUGUGGUAUCUGAUAGCAAGUUUCAGCUGGCCUGACCCAUUCAGUGUACCCCAACUCACUAAUGUCUUCACCUGUAUUGAAAAGGUGUCCCGUAAGAUAUCAACAGAAAGCUACUGGCAUAAUGUUCAUUAAUAUUAUUGCAUGACGUAUGUAUGGAGGAGAAAUGCAAGAUUAGAGAUAGCUGGGAAAUGAUGUUCUUAAAGCAUGUCUGUCAGCCAGGGUUGAAGUUCCCCCACUCUAGACAAAGGCAGGUGGUUCUGCCACCUAGAAGGCACUUUCAGGGUACAUUAAGAGUCAAUGGGAAUGCAAUUUACAUAACCAAUAAACAAACCCAUCACACUAACAAGGGGCAGAAAGAACCACUGAGCAUCAUGGCAGGGGAGGAUAUCGCAGGAACAAACCAAAUUCUAUUUUAGCAAACACCAGCAGUGGAAGAAACCACCAUGGAACUUCAUUUAAGAAGACAAAGGAACCAAGCCCUUUGGACUUUGGGGAAGAUAUUGAGGAAGGGGGUGCUCUGCCCUCUUGCUGGAAAGUAGUGUGGUCAGAAUCUUACCUUGGACCAGGACUAUAGUUUUAUUAGGUCAUUGUUCACUUCCACUUCCUGGGAACCAUUUCUAACACUGUUGUUUAUACCUGAACUCACUUUAAAUGCUUGUGUUAGAUUAAACGUUUAGUAAAUGAA